rnacentral:lncRNA from 1 species
CUCACUAUGAGUUGAGAUGAUUUUACGCGAUCCAAUGGUCCACAAUCAUCCCACUCAGAUCCAAUGGCUGUUGUUCAUUGUCGGUUGAUAAGAGAAAACUUUUGCAUGAUCCGACGGUCGAAACUCAAUCCAUCAUGCGAUCGGACAGCCAGCAUCAUUCUUGACUUUGAUAAGAAGUUAAACUUCAUGAUCCGAUGGCCCAGAAUAAAUCUAAACC